GCGGGGUCAUUGUAUGUUGAUCCUUAGGGCGUAGCGAGGUUGCCUUGGUAGUAGUCUUUCUCGGCUGAACAGCCGUUAAUGGCAUACAUUUAAGCUGCCGUUUAUCUCCCCGCCUCAGACUGACAGCAGAAUACAAAAAUGUCGAGCGGGAUCUUCCACUCGAGGUGGUGGGGUUGCAGAUUCUUUAGUAUGCCUCCCAUUUCCCAUCCCGCCUUUCUCCUCAGUGAAGACCCAAAUCGGUUUGAAUGGUUCUUCUCUCCUCUUUUCCCUUUUAUCCUCACAAGCGUACGAAGUAAGUUAGGCUGAAAAUGAAUGACUGGCUCAAGGUUACCCAGCAAGAUUCCAUGACAAGAGGAUUUGAACCUGAGUUUUCCAGAUUCUACACAGUUACACCACACUAACUACAGAGGUAGCUGUUAAAUCUAGGAGAACUAAACCGGAUGGUUGCUAAUUUCAGGUUGGCGGAUUUCAGGGGUGGAGUCUUGAGAGAGCAGGGACUGCUGUUGGGUAUAACGGCAGAGUCCAAACGUAGCCACUUUCUUCAGGGCAAUUGAUCUCUUCUUCGCUGAAAUUAUUGAAGAUCUUCAGGCCCCACCAAAAUGUUAUUUCAACUCUUUGUUUCUCUGAACUGGAACCUAUUUCUCAAGAUGCCUUUAGCUGCUUUUCUCUGGCUCCUCGUUUUAUGAACGUGUUACCUUUUCAAUCGCAGCUAACAUAUGGCUACCCUGCAGACAAGAGGUACUCAGGUGAUUUGCCACUAUUUGUCUCUUCAUAGCAGCCCUAGCCUUCUGUCAUCCAACUACAAUCAAGGCCUCUGAGAGCUGACAAGAUCAGGGUAACCUGGGUAUCAAGGUCUACCUUAAUAUAAAAUAUGUAAUAUGAGACAGCUAUAUUAUGGAUCGUCAAUGACAACUUGUGUUAAAUGUUACUGUGCUAUUUUUAAUGGAAUGUAGUUGUCCUCAAUGUUACAUUCCAUUGUAGAUAAAACUUAAAUAUUGUUAAUUUGCCAUUUGAUAGUGGGAACUGCUGUUUAAAGACACAUCUAAAGUUCCAUGGAAGUCAGAAAACUAUUUUCCUGCUCCUUUAGACCUGACUUUGCUAUAAAGAAUUUAGACUCUAGUAUUAAUUUCGAAAAUCUUACAUAUACUAAGAAUUAAUGGAAAAAACCCUAGCGUGGAAGGAAAAGAAUGGGAAGAAUAGGUGACAUUGCAGAGUGACAGACGUUAAGAGUAUUAAAUGAAGCAUUCUCAGUUCCCUGAAAAGAGGUUUAACUUGAGCAAUAGCCUUAUAAUGCCUGGUGGUUAAUUUGGUUUUUGCUGAAAUUUGCUGAAAAGAGAUUUAACUUGAGCAGUCGCCUUAUAAUGCCUGGUGGUUAAUUUGGUUUUUCAAAGUGUUUAUGUUUGCUUUUGCUUAUUUGGUAUCUGGUAGAGUCUGUAGUAACUCCUGAAACCGCUUUCAUAAAAAAAAUUGUAGCCAGAAAACCAUUCUAAUGAGGUAUUUAGAAUCAUGCAAAUAAUUUUUUAACAUUAAAGUUGUCUGGUUUUCCCAAAA